GCCGGUGAUUCCGUGCUCGCCGCACGAUCGUCUGAUUCCCAGAGUGGUUCCCGUGUGAGGCCAAAAGUGGAUCCGGAACCACUGCUUAAGUGAACACGAUUUAUUUGAUGAGUGAUAUCAAUUUAGUCAUCCAAGUAACCUUGAAGAUGGCAGCACUAGUGACAAUUGGAGCCUUUUCAUGGGUAACCCGCAUAACAAAAGCUGGGCACUGGAGACCACGGAAGACACAUCACGAACUUCGUCCAACAAAGCAAGUUUUUGAAAAAGCACAACCCAACUGCAAUCAACGAGCCCUUCGACGUGCGCGCCGGGCCCAAAUUUGUGGAUGUGAUCGAUAAUGACGCCCUACUGGAACAGCAAGCAACCUUUCUUGCGGACUCGGUGUCUAUCGCCGCCGG